rnacentral:rRNA from 1 species
GAUGAACGCUGGCGGCGCGCCUAACACAUGCAAGUCGAACGAUUAAAGCACCUUCGGGUGUGUAUAAAGUGGCGAACGGCUGAGUAACACGUGGGCAACCUGCCCCUUUCAUUGGGAUAGCCACGGGAAACCGUGGAUAAUACCGAAUACUUCGGGACUUCCGCAUGGAAGACUCGAGAAAGCUCCGGCGGAGAGGGAUGGGCCCGCGGCCUGUUAGCUUGUUGGUGGGGUAACGGCCUACCAAGGCAAUGAUGGGUAGCUGGGUUGAGAGACCGACCAGCCAGAUUGGGACUGAGACACGGCCCAGACUCCUACGGGAGGCAGCAGUGGGGAAUCUUGCACAAUGGGCGAAAGCCUGAUGCAGCGACGCCGCGUGCGGGAUGAAGGCCUUCGGGUUGUAAACCGCUUUCAGCAGGGACGAGGCGAAAGUGACGGUACCUGCAGAAGAAGCCCCGGCUAACUACGUG